rnacentral:rRNA from 1 species
AUUGAACGCUGGCGGCAUGCCUUACACAUGCAAGUCGAACGGCAGCGGGGACUUCGGUCCGCCGGCGAGUGGCGAACGGGUGAGUAAUGUAUCGGAACGUACCAUUCAGUGGGGGAUAACUAUCCGAAAGGAUAGCUAAUACCGCAUAUUCUGUGAGCAGGAAAGCAGGGGAUCGCAAGACCUUGCGCUGAUUGAGCGGCCGAUAUCAGAUUAGCUAGUUGGUGAGGUAAAGGCUCACCAAGGCGACGAUCUGUAGCGGGUCUGAGAGGAUGAUCCGCCACACUGGGACUGAGACACGGCCCAGACUCCUACGGGAGGCAGCAGUGGGGAAGUUUGGACAAUGGGCGCAAGCCUGAUCCAGCCAUGCCGCGUGAGUGAAGAAGGCCUUCGGGUUGUAAAGCUCUUUCGGCCGGGAAGAAAUCGCAUCAGCUAAUACCUGGUGUGGAUGACGGUACCGGAAUAAGAAGCACCGGCUAACUACGUGCCAGCCGCCGCCGUAACAC